rnacentral:misc_RNA from 1 species
AACGAGGCCGACCUGCGGCUGAGUUACCUGCGGAGGGAUCAUUACAAGUGACCCCGGUUUACCACCGGGAUGUUCAUAACCCUUUGUUGUCCGACUCUGUUGCCUCCGGGGCGACCCUGCCUUCGGGCGGGGGCUCCGGGUGGACACUUCAAACUCUUGCGUAACUUUGCAGUCUGAGUAAACUUAAUUAAUAAAUUAAAACUUUCAACAAUGGAUCU